GACGAACGCUGGCGGCGUGCUUAACACAUGCAAGUCGAACGGAAAGGCCCUGCUUUUGUGGGGUGCUCGAGUGGCGAACGGGUGAGUAACACGUGAGUAACCUGCCCUUGACUUUGGGAUAACUUCAGGAAACUGGGGCUAAUACCGGAUAGGAGCUCCUGCUGCAUGGUGGGGGUUGGAAAGUUUCGGCGGUUGGGGAUGGACUCGCGGCUUAUCAGCUUGUUGGUGGGGUAGUGGCUUACCAAGGCCUUGACGGGUAGCCGGCCUGAGAGGGUGACCGGCCACAUUGGGACUGAGAUACGGCCCAGACUCCUACGGGAGGCAGCAGUGGGGAAUAUUGCACAAUGGGCGGAAGCCUGAUGCAGCAACGCCGCAUGCGGGAUGACGGCCUUCGGGUUGUAAACCGCUUUCGCCUGUGACGAAGCGUGAGUGACGGUAAUGGGUAAAGAAGCACCGGCUAACUACGUG
rnacentral:rRNA from 1 species